GUUGGUUCUGGCAUCGUCAGGGAUCUCGUGGCCUUCGCUGACUCCAAGGACGAGGUGCCGUUCACGCGUCCACUACCCAGGUUCCCUGUGCCGCGGGCACCGCAGCCCACACCGAGCUUUGCCGUGUCUGGGAGAGAGACUGGGAUGAGACAUGUGCCAGAGUGGUUGCCGGUGUUCCCGGAUCCGCACACCUAUGUGAGGACGGAGGUCUGGAGUGAACAGGCGGCCAAGGACAGGGUGGACAUGGUGGAGCAAGUUCGGCAGCGGAGGAAGGCUGAGAAGUCACUGCUCAGCUUGCAGCAACGGUUGGCCCUUGCAGGUGGUGAUGGUUUUCGGCCAUCGGUUGCUGUGGAUAGUGCAGAUAAAGGGAAGGAGAUACAGCCAGCAGGGAGCAAGAGGAAUCCUUUUCUUGAGCCUGCUUUGCCGCAUGGGGAGAAGGUGGUCGCAGAGGUUGUUUUGCCACCACAGCGGAAACAGCUUUCUAUCCUCGAGGCAUUCGCCCCCGCAAUUCAGGGAGCAGAUGCCAUGGAGCUUGAUGCUGGGACAGGUUGGGACCAGAAUCUGAACCAAAAGAGCAUUGUUCCAAAGGAGAGAGCACCAGUGCACCUGAAGAUUGGAAUAGAUAAGAAGCCACUGGCAGCGAUGGUAAAUUCAAAACCCCUGGAUCUGUUGGAGGAUCCGUCGUUCUUGAAGGAGGAAACAAAGGAUGAACGGAAGCGGAGGGCUGGGAUGAUAUUAAGGGUGUCAAUGGAGAACCCACAGGAACUUCCCCAGCUUUAAUGUGGUUGGUGGAAGAAGUGCAGUACCCAGAAUGGAGUUGCAUUGAGCUGGAACUUGGGAAUAGGGGAUCUAUGGACGUUUCAGUUUUCUGGUGGAUCUUCAGUUCGCAAAAUCUUGAGGCCAAGCAUCCAAUGAUGCAACCUUCUACUGGAAUGAUGUCAGAAGCAAUAGUCCGAACCUUUGUAGCCUGCACCCAUUCUACCCCAGCAGCAUCAACAAUUGAAUCACCAGACAUUGUUAGGUCCAUAGUUCCUGCUUGCCCUGAUAUUCCUACUAGAAUGAUGCGAGCUUUUUCUUUGCAUGGAGCUGAUUUUGGAGGCCGUCCGUCCAAAGCAUGAUGCUUCUCCCGAGCUGAGCUCUUCCUCUGUGUAGCUAGCAAAGAUGGAGUGGAGAUGUUGUACAAAAACUGACUUGAUUUUCCUGACCAACUCUCGUCUCGACUAGACUGUCCAUUUGAUUGCUCCCCUUCUCUGGUGUGAGAAUCCAUGAGAUUGAAUUGCUUUUUGUAAUGGGCGCGUGUUGGUCGGUGCGCCCCCCUGCUGAGGCUGUAAUGGCAGUGUACUGUAGAGUAUCAUCAUUCUUUUGGCCUGUUUCAACUGUAAAACUAAUUUGAGCUGAGCAAUCAUCCCUUGAUU